GACAGAGGGUGCAAACGUUGUUCGGAAUUACUGGGCGUAAAGCGUGCGUAGGCGGUUCGUUAAGUCUGUCGUGAAAGCCCUGGGCUCAACCUGGGAACUGCGAUGGAUACUGGCGAGCUAGAGUACGGUAGAGGAUGGUGGAAUUCCCGGUGUAGCGGUGAAAUGCGUAGAGAUCGGGAGGAACACCCGUGGCGAAGGCGGUGGCCUGGACCUGUGCUGACGCUGAGGCGCGAAAGCGUGGGGAGCGAUCCGG
rnacentral:rRNA from 1 species